AUUGAACGCUGGCGGUAGGCCUAACACAUGCAAGUCGAACGGCAGCACAGUAAGAUCUUGCUCUUACGGGUGGCGAGUGGCGGACGGGUGAGGAAUACAUCGGAAUCUACUUUUUCGUGGGGGAUAACGUAGGGAAACUUACGCUAAUACCGCAUACGACCUACGGGUGAAAGCAGGGGAUCUUCGGACCUUGCGCGAUUGAAUGAGCCGAUGUCGGCUUAGCUAGUUGGCUGGGUAAAGGCCCACCAAGGCAACGAUCCGUAGCUGGUCUGAGAGGGUGAUCGGCCACACUGGAACUGAGACACGGUCCAGACUCCUACGGGAGGCAGCAGUAGGGAAUAUUGGGCAAUGGGCGCAAGCCUGAUCCAGCCAUGCCGCGUGGGUGAAGAAGGCCUUCGGGUUGUAAAGCCCUUUUGUUGGGAAAGAAAAGCAGCAGAUUAAUACCCCGCUGUUCUGACGGUACCCAAAGAAUAAGCACCGGCUAACUUCGUG
rnacentral:rRNA from 1 species